CCUUCCGGAAGCCACCAUGGGGGAUAAUUCCCCAAGGGGGGAAAUCCGAUGGAGGGGCACCGCCUGAAAGAAAAAAGUCUUUGGGUUGUUAAACUUUUUUGUUCGGGGCGAAAGAAAGACGGUACCCGAAAAACAAACCCCGGCUAAAUACGUUCCAGCAGCCGCGGUAAUACGUAGGGGGCGAGCGUUGUCCGGAAUUAAUUGGGGUAAAGGGGGGGUUGGGGGGGUGGCAAAUUAGAUGUGAAAUUCUGCGGCUUAACUUCGGGGGUGCAUUUGAAACUGUUCGUUUUGAGUGUCGGAGAGGGAAGUGGAAUUCCCAGUGUAGCGGUGAAAUGCGUAGAUAUUUGGAGGAACACCCGUGGGGAAGGCGGCCUUCUUGGCGACAACUGACGGUGAGGCGCGAAAGCGUGGGGGGCAAACAGGAUUUGAUACCCUGGUAGUUCCCGCCGUAAACGAUGGAUACUAGGUGUAGGAGGUAUCGACCCCUUCUGUGCCGGAGUAACACAAUAGCAUUCCGCCUGGGAGUACGCCAGUGG
rnacentral:rRNA from 1 species